rnacentral:rRNA from 1 species
GGGUCAGUAGGUUGGUCGUGCCUCCGGUACGUACUGGUCUCACUGAUUCCUCCUUCCUGAAGAACCGUAAUGCCAUUAAUUUGGUGUUGCGGGGAAACAGGACUGUUACUUUGAAAAAAUUAGAGUGUUUAAAGCAAGCUAGCGCUUGAAUACAUUAGCAUGGAAUAAUGAAAUAGGACGAUCGAUCCUAUUUUGUUGGUUUCUAGGAUUGACGUA